rnacentral:tRNA from 1 species
GGUAAAUAUAAGUUAAUAAGACUGCUACCUUGAAAAGGUAGUUGUGAACAGGUAAGUUUUAUUACCA